AUUGAACGCUGGCGGCAUGCCUUACACAUGCAAGUCGAACGGCAGCACGGGUGCUUGCACCUGGUGGCGAGUGGCGAACGGGUGAGUAAUACAUCGGAACAUGUCCUGUAGUGGGGGAUAGCCCGGCGAAAGCCGGAUUAAUACCGCAUACGAUCUACGGAUGAAAGCGGGGGACCUUCGGGCCUCGCGCUAUAGGGUUGGCCGAUAGCUGAUUAGCUAGUUGGUGGGGGAAAGGCCUACCAAGGCGACGAUCAGUAGCUGGUCUGAGAGGACGACCAGCCACACUGGGACUGAGACACGGCCCAGACUCCUACGGGAGGCAGCAGUGGGGAAUUUUGGACAAUGGGCGAAAGCCUGAUCCAGCAAUGCCGCGUGUGUGAAGAAGGCCUUCGGGUUGUAAAGCACUUUUGUCCGGAAAGAAAUCCUUGGCUCUAAUACAGUCGGGGGAUGACGGUACCGGAAGAAUAAGCACCGGCUAACUACGUG
rnacentral:rRNA from 1 species